rnacentral:rRNA from 1 species
GACGAACGCUGGCGGCGUGCCUAAUACAUGCAAGUCGAACGCAGUGGGGACGGGUGAGUAACACGUGGGUAACCUCCCAUCAGAGGGGAUAACACUUGGAAACAGGUGCUAAACCGAUACUGAUGGAUGGACCCGCGGUGCAUUAGCUCGUUGGUGAGGUAACGGCUCGCCAAGGACACGAUGCAUAGCGGACCUGGUAGGGUGAUCGGCCACACUGUGACUGAGACACGGCCCAGACUCCUACGGGAGGCAGCGGUAGGGAAUCUUCGGCAAUGGACGAAAGUCUGACCGAGCAACGCCGGGUGAGUGAAGAAGGUUUUCGGAUCGUAAAACUCUGUUGUUGGAGAAGGGGAAUCAAAGAAGAAAGCCACGGCUAACUACGUGCCAGCAGCCGCGGAAUAG